AUGCAUCCGUUGGGGUGCCGUGAAAGGCUGAGAAGUUUUAUAAACUAACCCAUCGAACCUGAUACGGGUAAUACCGGCGAAGGGAACGGUGAUCUUCUUGUG
rnacentral:ncRNA from 1 species